rnacentral:tRNA from 1 species
GGGGUUGUGGCUCAGUGGUAGAGUGCUCACUUGGCACAAGUGAGGCGCUGGGUUGGAUCCUCAGCACCACA